GAAAAAUGCAAAAACGAACAAAUGGUACUGAACUCCUUGAAGAGUAUGCACAAAGAAACAUUGAAGAUAUUGCAAGUGACAAUGCUACUCGGAAUGACCAAGGAAAAGGUUUUGUGAGUGAUUUCUUCAACCUCUUUAGCAGAUGAAGCACAAUUCUGCACGAAGACAUGUAAAUUAUUAUCCUUUUCUGCAUGCAUUUUUUGUUCUUGAAAAAAAAGAUAUAAAUAAAAUGUUUUUUUACAAAAUUGGUUAAA